UAGCAUAUCAAUAAGCGGAGGAAAAGAAACCAACAGGGGAUUGCCCCCAGUAACGGCGAGUGAAGCGGCAACAGCUCAAAUUUGAAAUCUGGCCCCAGGCCCGAGUUGUAAUUUGCAGAGGAUGCUUUUGGCGCGGUGCCUUCCGAGUUCCCUGGAACGGGACGCCAUAGAGGGUGAGAGCCCCGUACGGUUGGACACCAAGCCUUUGUAAAGCUCCUUCGACGAGUCGAGUAGUUUGGGAAUGCUGCUCUAAAUGGGAGGUAUAUUUCUUCUAAAGCUAAAUAUAGGCCAGAGACCGAUAGCGCACAAGUAGAGUGAUCGAAAGAUGAAAAGCACUUUGAAAAGAGGGUUAAACAGCACGUGAAAUUGUUGAAAGGGAAGCGCUUGUGACCAGACUUGCGUCCGGUGAAUCACCCAGCUCUCGCGGCUGGGGCACUUUGCCGGCACAGGCCAGCAUCAGCUCGCUGUCGGGGACAAAAGCUUCGGGAACGUAGCUCUCUUCGGGGAGUGUUAUAGCCCGUUGCAUAAUACCCUUCGGUGGGCUGAGGUACGCGCUCCGCAAGGAUGCUGGCGUAAUGGUCAUCAGCGACCCGUCUUGAAACACGGACCAAGGAGUCAACCUUAUGUGCGAGUGUUUGGGUGUUAAACCCCUACGCGUAAUGAAAGUGAACGCAGGUGAGAGCUUCGGCGCAUCAUCGACCGAUCCUGAUGUUCUCGGACGGAUUUGAGUAAGAGCAUAUAGGGUUGGACCCGAAAGAAGGUGAACUAUGCGUGUAUAGGGUGAAGCCAGAGGAAACUCUGGUGGAGGCUCGCAGCGGUUCUGACGUGCAAAUCGAUCGUCAAAUAUGCGCAUGGGGGCGAAAGACUAAUCGAACCUUCUAGUAGCUGGUUUCCGCAAU
rnacentral:rRNA from 1 species